rnacentral:rRNA from 1 species
UCAGUUGCCAUCAUUAAGUUGGGCACUCUGUGGAGACUGCCGGUGUUAAACCGGAGGAAGGUGGGGAUGACGUCAAGUCCUCAUGGCCCUUAUGACCAGGGCUACACACGUGCUACAAUGGCCGGUACAAAGAGUUGCAAUACCGCGAGGUGGAGCUAAUCUCAUAAAGCCGGUCUCAGUUCGGAUUGGAGUCUGCAACUCGACUCCAUGAAGUUGGAAUCGCUAGUAAUCGCGGAUCAGCACGCCGCGGUGAAUACGUUCCCGGGCCUU